rnacentral:rRNA from 1 species
AGCCGAGCGGUAUUGUUUCUUCGGAAAUGAGAGAGCGGCGUACGGGUGCGGAACACGUGUGCAACCUGCCUUUAUCUGGGGGAUAGCCUUUCGAAAGGAAGAUUAAUACUCCAUAAUAUAUUGAACGGCAUCGUUUAAUAUUGAAAGCUCCGGCGGAUAGAGAUGGGCACGCGCAAGAUUAGCUAGUUGGUGAGGUAACGGCUCACCAAGGCGAUGAUCUUUAGGGGGCCUGAGAGGGUGAUCCCCCACACUGGUACUGAGACACGGACCAGACUCCUACGGGAGGCAGCAGUGAGGAAUAUUGGUCAAUGGGUGCAAGCCUGAACCAGCCAUCCCGCGUGAAGGACGACUGCCCUAUGGGUUGUAAACUUCUUUUGUAUAGGGAUAAACCUACCCUCGUGAGGGUAGCUGAAGGUACUAUACGAAUAAGCACCGGCUAACUCCGUGCCAGCAGCCGCGGUAAUACGGAGGGUGCAAGCGUUAUCCGGAUUUAUUGGGUUUAAAGGGUCCGUAGGCGGACUUACAAGUCAGUGGUGAAAGCCUGUCGCUUAACGAUAGAACUGCCAUUGAUACUGUAAGUCUUGAGUAUAUUUGAGGUAGCUGGAAUAAGUAGUGUAGCGGUGAAAUGCAUAGAUAUUACUUAGAACACCAAUUGCGAAGGCAGGUUACCAAGAUAUAACUGACGCUGAGGGACGAAA